rnacentral:lncRNA from 1 species
AAGGGGAGAUAUGAUAUACAAUUACUUUAUCAUUUCAGGGUCAUAAAAACUAUAUACAAUAAAAAAGAAUGAAGGGAUUAAUUUGGCUAGAAAUUCAAAGGUGCAGUGCAUCAUCAAGGCAGAGAGGUCAUGGACUCAGAAAUCUCAGGCAGUUGGCCACUCAUGAAACUGUGGUCAGGAAGUCGUGACACCGAAAUGACUUAUUGUGUUUUGCUAUCUUACUUCUCCUUUUUCAGUGUGGGAUCCUAUCUGAUAAAGUCAUUUCUCGCACAGUGAGAGGAGCAUUGGAUCAUCAGAGAUUCAUGUUCUGUAGUACCAGGAAGCAUUUGUGAACUCCGAAAGACCAAUCAGGUGCCGAUCCGAUCCGAUACAAUCACACAAGAGUCUUUAUUCACAAGUUCAAACUCGGGCUUAAGUCAUGCUGACACACAGGAUGGUUUCGGUGGAUAAAAGCCCCAAACACUCCUCAGGACAAGAUUUUAUAGGAAAUAUCAAGAGAAGGUUUUCAGAUUAAAAUAUUUGGUGCACAAUUUAAAAAGAAAGGUCAUGGGAAGGAAUAUCCAGAGGAUGAUACUUUGCCCGAGGAAAAUGUACAGCUCAUUGCCUACGUUAAAUGACUCUGCAACUGCACGAGAACUUAAGAGAUGGUACUCACCACUCUAAUAUAAGGAGCAAACAGCCAAGCUUUGUGCUUGUUUUUAUUUUUUUCCACAAAUUGCUUGUUUUUUUUUCCCUAAAAUGUUCAACAUCAGUUAAACAUUACCAGAAAA